GCCAUCACUGACGCUCAUGGACGAAAGCCAGGGGAGCGAAAGGGAUUAGAUACCCCUGUAGUCCUGGCCGUAAACGAUGAACACUAGGUGUCGGGGGAAUCGACCCCCUCGGUGUCGUAGCCAACGCGUUAAGUGUUCCGCCUGGGGAGUACGCACGCAAGUGUGAAACUCAAAGGAAUUGACGGGGGCCCGCACAAGCGGUGGAGUAUGUGGUUUAAUUCGAUGCAACGCGAAGAACCUUACCAGGGUUUGACAUCCUGCGAAUCUCUUGGAAACAGGAGAGUGCCUUCGGGAACGCAGUGACAGGUGGUGCAUGGCUGUCGUCAGCUCGUGUCGUGAGAUGUUGGGUUAAGUCCCGCAACGAGCGCAACCCACGUCUUUAGUUGCCAGCAUUUAGUUGGGCACUCUAGAGAGACUGCCGGUGAUAAACCGGAGGAAGGUGUGGAUGACGUCAAGUCAUCAUGCCCCUUACAUCCUGGGCUACACACGUACUACAAUGCUACGGACAAAGGGCUGCAAGUUCGCGAGGACAAGCAAAUCCCAUAAACCGUGGCUCAGUUCAGAUCGUAGGCUGCAACUCGCCUACGUGAAGGCGGAAUCGCUAGUAAUCGCAGGUCAGCAUACUGCGGUGAAUACGUUCCCGGGCCUUGUACACACCGCCCGUCACACCAUGGAAGUUGGCCACGCCCGAAGCCGUUACUCCAACCCUUUUAGGGAGGAAACUGUCGAAGGUAGGGUCGGUAACUGGGACUAAGUCGUAACAAGGUAACCGUAGG
rnacentral:rRNA from 1 species